rnacentral:sRNA from 3 species
AUGUACCCCUUACACUCCGGUUCCUCCGCGCCGCCGGCCGCAUCCACCUGACAACAACUGCUCGCUACGUUUUAUUAGCU